rnacentral:tRNA from 1 species
GCGGAUGUGGUGGAAUUGGUAGACACGCUAGAUUUAGGAUCUAGUGCCGCAAGGUGUGAGAGUUCGAGUCUCUCCAUCCGUA